UACGUAGGGUGCAAGCGUUAAUCGGAAUUACUGGGCGUAAAGCGUGCGCAGGCGGUUUUGUAAGCCAGAUGUGAAAUCCCCGGGCUUAACCUGGGAGUGGCAUUUGGGACUGCAAGGCUUGAGUGCGGCAGAGGAGACUGGAAUUCCUGGUGUAGCAGUGAAAUGCGUAGAUAUCAGGAGGAACACCGAUGGCGAAGGCAGGUCUCUGGGCUGACACUGACGCUCAUGCACGAAAGCGUGGGGAGCAAACAGG
rnacentral:rRNA from 1 species